rnacentral:rRNA from 1 species
UACAGAGGUCUCAAGCGUUGUUCGGAUUCAUUGGGCGUAAAGGGUGCGUAGGCGGCGAGGCAAGUCGGAUGUGAAAUCCCGGGGCUCAACCCUGGAACUGCAUUCGAUACUGCCUUGCUCGAGGACUCGAGAGGAGAUUGGAAUUCACGGUGUAGCAGUGAAAUGCGUAGAUAUCGUGAGGAAGACCAGUGGCGAAGGCGGAUCUCUGGAGAGUUCCUGACGCUGAGGCACGAAGGCCAGGGUAGCAAACGGG